rnacentral:rRNA from 1 species
GUGAACGCUGGCGGUAGGCCUCACACCUGCAAGUCGAACGGCAGCACAGUAAGAGCUUGCUCUUACGGGUGGCGAGUGGCGGACGGGUGAGGAAUACAUCGGAAUCUACUUUUUCGUGGGGGAUAACGUAGGGAAACUUACGCUAAUACCGCAUACGACCUACGGGUGAAAGCAGGGGAUCUUCGGACCUUGCGCGAUUGAAUGAGCCGAUGUCGGAUUAGCUAGUUGGCGGGGUAAAGGCCCACCAAGGCGACGAUCCGUAGCUGGUCUGAGAGGAUGAUCAGCCACACUGGAACUGAGACACGGUCCAGACUCCUACGGGAGGCAGCAGUGGGGAAUAUUGGACAAUGGGCGCAAGCCUGAUCCAGCCAUACCGCGUGGGUGAAGAAGGCCUGCGGGUUGUAAAGCCCUUUUGUUGGGAAAGAAAAGCAGCAGGUUAAUACCCCGCUGUUCUGACGGUACCCAAAGAAUAAGCACCGGCUAACUUCGU